rnacentral:rRNA from 1 species
GAACCAUCGAGUCUUUGAACGCAAGUUGCACCCGAAGCCACUAGGUCGAAGGCACGCUUGCAUGGGCGUCACGCGCCGUUGCCCCCCCUCGCCUCCCUCGGGAGCGUCGGCGAGUGGAUGAUGGCCUCUCACGCACCACCUCGCGCGGUUGGCACAAAUGCCGAGCCCCCGGCGAUGAACGCCACGACAAUUGGUGGUCGUCGAACCUCAGUUGCCUGUUGUUCGCUUUCGCAGCACUCCGGGCGGNUCAUGACCCCAGCAACAGCUCUGCUUCGGCGGAGUUCUUCAACGCGACCCCAGGUCAGGCGGGGUUACCCGCUGAA